rnacentral:rRNA from 1 species
GACGAACGCUGGCGGCGUGCUUAACACAUGCAAGUCGAACGGAAAGGCGAUGCUUUUGUGGGGUGCUUGUUUGGCGAGCGGGUGAGUAAAACGUGUGUAACCUGCCCUUGUAUUUGGGAUAUCUUCAGGAAACUGGGGCUAAUACCGGAUAUGAGCUCCUGAUGCAUGGUGGUGGUUGGUAAGUUUCGGCGGUUGGGGAUAGACUCGCAGCUUAUCAGCUUGUUGGUCUGGUUGUUAAUUACCAAGGCUAUGAAGGAUAGCCUGCCUGGGAGGGUGACCAGCGACAAUGGGACUGAGAUACGGAGCAGACUCCAACGGGCGGCAGCAGGCGAAAAUAUUGCACAACAAGCCGGAGCCAGAUGCAGCAACCCCGCGUGCGGGAUGAUGGCCUACGGGUGAUAAACAGAUUUGGCAUGUAACGAAGAGAGAGUGACGGUAACGAGUAAAAAAGCACCGGCUAACUACGUG